UACGGAGGAUCCAAGCGUUGUCCGGAUUUAUUGGGUUUAAAGGGUGCGUAGGCGGACUAUUAAGUCAGAGGUGAAAGCCGGUAGCUUAACUAUCGAAUAGCCUUUGAAACUGGUAGUCUUGAAUACUGUUGAGGUGGGCGGAAUGUAUCAUGUAGCGGUGAAAUGCUUAGAUAUGAUACAGAACACCGAUUGCGAAGGCAGCUCACUAAGCAGUUAUUGACGCUGAGGCACGAAAGCGUGGGGAUCAAAC
rnacentral:rRNA from 1 species